rnacentral:lncRNA from 1 species
CAACAACUCUUCGUGGCCUGUCGUGGUGUUGAACCUGUGAGCUCGCACGGCCUCUGGAACUACCUCCAAUACCCCGUCAGCGGUGAGCUGUGAUGGCAGGGUCACUGACUCGAAGGACUCACCCACCGCUUUCUUUAGCUGUGAAACAUGAAAAGUGGGAUGAAUGUGGGCCUCUACUGGUAAACGUAGUUUAUACGCCACCUUCCCCACGCGUCUCUCUAUCUCGUACGGCCCAUAGAAGCGAGCUGAUAGCUUCUCAUUAACUCUCUUAGCCAACGUCUUCUGUCUGUAAGGCCUGAGUUUCACAAAGACCUUAUCCCCUACUUGAAAUUCCACCUCCCUCAU